rnacentral:rRNA from 1 species
AUGGAUGGGAACACCAAAGGAGGUGGACAUUAUGAAGCAUUGAAGAGCUACAAUCUGUGCAAAACGUUAGGUGCAGGCACAUUUGGAACAGGGAUGAUUGUAGAGCUUAAGCAUACAGGACACAAAGUUGCUAUAAAGAUUCUGAACUGUCGUAAAAUGAAUACUGUGGAAAUGGAAGAGAAAGCAAAUAGAGAAAUCAAGAUAUUGAGGUUGUUCAUUGACUUCAUUCACCCUCAUAUCAUCAGGAUUUAUGAGGUCAUUGAGACACCAAAGGAUAUCUUUGUUGUGAUGGAAUAUUGCCAGAAUGGUGACCUAUUGAACUACAUUGUCGAGAAAAGGCGGUUACAGGAUGAUGAGGCCCGUCCAAUCUUCCAGCAGAUUAUAUCUGGUGUUGAAUGCUGCCACACGAACAUGGUUGUUCAUCGUGAUCUAAAGCCAGAAACCUGUUACUUGAUUCCAAAUAUAAUGUGA